GUCCAGACUAAGGAGCUUGUCACUGCAGGAGAUGGUGAAGGACAGCAAUGUGGAUCUGAAGUGGGACUGGUUACUUCAGCACUUGGUGGUACUCCAGGAUCAGAUUUGAACAUCCCUGGAACAAACUAGUGAUGUGGAGAAGAUCAUUCAGGCAGCCUGCAGCAGCACCAAAAUAUGAGCACGGGUCCUGUGAGUGGCAGCGAUGGGGCCAUCCCUCCUCUUGUAGCCAGGCUUGGGCUUCCAGGGCUGCUCUUCAUGUGAACAAGCUCAGCCUGGCAGGUGACUUUGGCAUUGUUUUGCUGUGUGGGGCUACGUACGCACGUAGGAAGUUCACAGGGGAGAUUUUUCAAGUUUUCCUUUCCUGGAGAGUGAUCUGUAAACACACCGUCAAAGCCAAGCAUUUGAUUUUUCUGUUGUCCUCACGGCAACACGCUGAGGAUCAGCUGUGCGCCAUGGCCUUCCCCCCUUCAGAAAACUUGGAGAUUUCAAGGAGCGAAUUGUAAUCCAUUGUUGGAUACCAGUUCUGUCAGGUUUCCUUCUCUGCUGAAAACAGCCGACAGGAAAGUAAUUACAGAAGCAGAUGUGACUUGUGACGUAAAUGUUACUUCUGGCCAUUUUUUGCAUUUUUUUUUAACUAAUCCAACGGGGUGAUUCCAAAGCAAAAGUCAACUGGUACACGAGACACAUGGGCCUAUGGUGGUACUUUCAAGCUUCUCCUUGGCUCAGACAGGUCCAGGGACAAUUUGCAAUACCUUACCAAUCAUUUUUUCAAAUUAAAUUAGUCAGUAAGAGAAAUUCUCAGAGCAGCUUCAAUAUGUGC